GAUGAACGCUAGCGGGAGGCCUAAUACAUGCAAGUCGAGCGGUAUAGUACUUCGGUACUAGAGAGCGGCGCACGGGUGAGUAACGCGUACAUGACCUACCUUUAAGACUGGGAUAGCCCUGGGAAACUGGGAUUAAUACCGGAUGUGAUUAUAGAUAUAGAGAUUUAUAAUUAAAGAUGAGUCGCUUAGAGAUGGAUGUGCGUCUGAUUAGCUAGUUGGUAGAGUAACGGCCUACCAAGGCUACGAUCAGUAGGGGGCGUGAGAGCGUGGCCCCCCACACGGGUACUGAGACACGGACCCGACUCCUACGGGAGGCAGCAGUAAGGAAUAUUGGUCAAUGGGCGGAAGCCUGAACCAGCCAUCCCGCGUGCAGGAUGAAGGUCCUAUGGAUUGUAAACUGCUUUUAGCAGAGAAGAAAAGCAGUCAUUUAUGAUUGUCUGACGGUAUC
rnacentral:rRNA from 1 species